AUUGAACGCUGGCGGCAGGCCUAACACAUGCAAGUCGAACGAGUGGCGGACGGGUGAGUACUGUCUGGGAAACUGCCUGAUGGAGGGGGAUAACUACUGGAAACGGUAGCUAAUACCGCAUACCAUCAGAUGUGCCCCUAUGGGCUUAGCUUGUUGGUUGGGUAACGGCUCACCAAGGCGACGAUCCCUAGCGGGUCUGAGAGGAUGACCAGCAACACUGGAACUGAGACACGGCCCAGACUCCUACGGGAGGCAGCAGUGGGGAAUAUUGCACAAUGGGCGCAAGCCUGAUACAGCCAUGCCGCGUGUAUGAAGAGGGCCUUCGGGUUGUAAAGUACUUUCAGCGGGGAGGCGUUACCCUCAGAAGAAGCACCGGCUAACUCCGUGCCAGCAGCCGCGGUAAUUC
rnacentral:rRNA from 1 species